rnacentral:rRNA from 1 species
UACGUAGGGGGCAAGCGUUGUCCGGAAUCAUUGGGCGUAAAGAGCGUGUAGGCGGCCAGAUAAGUCCGCUGUGAAAACUCGAGGCUCAACUUCGAGCUGUCGGCGGAAACUAUCUGGCUAGAGUCCGGAAGAGGAGAGUGGAAUUCCUGGUGUAGCGGUGAAAUGCGCAGAUAUCAGGAAGAACACCCGUGGCGAAGGCGGCUCUAUGGGACGGUACUGACGCUGAGACGCGAAAGCGUGGGGAGCGAACAGG